rnacentral:rRNA from 1 species
UUGAACGCUGGCGGCAUGCUUUACACAUGCAAGUCGAACGGUAACAGGCCGCAAGGUGCUGACGAGUGGCGAACGGGUGAGUAAUGCAUCGGAACGUGCCCAGUCGUGGGGGAUAACUACUCGAAAGAGUAGCUAAUACCGCAUACGAUCUAUGGAUGAAAGCGGGGGACCGUAAGGCCUCGCGCGAUUGGAGCGGCCGAUGUCAGAUUAGGUAGUUGGUGGGGUAAAGGCUCACCAAGCCAACGAUCUGUAGCUGGUCUGAGAGGACGACCAGCCACAUGGGACCGAGACACGGCCCCAACUCCCACGGGAAGCAAGAGUGGGGAAAUUUUGGCAAAGGGGGGAAGGCUUAUUCCGCAAAGCCGCGGGGCAGAAGAAGGGCCUUGGGGUGGAAAACUGCUUUUGUAGGGAAGAAAACGGCUCUGGUUAAUACCAGGGCUAAUGACGGUACCGUAAGAAUAAGCACCGGCUAACUACGUG